rnacentral:lncRNA from 1 species
UUCAGAGGCGGCUUCGAGGAGUCAGGAUAAGGCAUCAGCACACACGCCCUCAGUUUAAGAGGGCCGGAGGGGAGAAAAAACCCUGUGCUCAAGGCGGAGUCUCUCACCUUCCCCGCCGCCCGCCGCCCGCCGCCCGCCGCGCCGCCCCGGCCGAGUCCACCGUUGUGGAAACAGAAACCGCCCUUCCAGAGCACAGGGUGGAUAUGCAAACAGGAAAACCCUGCGGCGCCGCCUCUUGAACCCCCGGGCAAGGCGAUUUAAUUCUUUGGAGGGGGAAACGGAGGGCGACGGGCACGCGGCCCCGGGCUGCGGCCGCUGCUUCGUGCCCUCAGUCAGGAGCUCGGCGCGCAGGAUUCAGGACUCGGGACUCGGGACUCGGGACUCGAGACUCGGGACUCGGGAUUCGGGAUUCGGGACUCGGGACUCGGGACUCGGGACUCGGGACUCGGGACUCGGGACUCGGGACUCGGGAUUCGGGAUUCGGGAUUCAGGGUCUCCUACCCGAAAGCGGGUCGGAGCGUCCGGGUUACGGAGCGGAGACGAAUGGGGUUCCGGUCUACACGGAUUACACGACCCAGGCGUCGGGGUUUAG